rnacentral:rRNA from 1 species
GACGAACGCUGGCGGCGUGCUUUACACAUGCAAGUCGAACGGUGAAGGUGGAGCUUGCUCCGCCGGAUCAGUGGCGAACGGGUGAGUAACACGUGGGCAACCUGCCCCUAACUUUGGGAUAACUACUCGAAAGAGUAGCUAAUACCGGAUAUGAAGUCUGUAGGCAUCUACGGACUUGGAAAGUUUUUCGGUUAGGGAUGGGCCCGAGGCCUAGAAGCUUGUUGGUGAGGUAGUGGCUCACCAAGGCGACGACGGGUAGCCGGCCUGAGAGGGCGACCGGCCACACUGGGACUGAGACACGGCCCAGACUCCUACGGGAGGCAGCAGUGGGGAAUAUUGCGCAAUGGGCGAAAGCCUGACGCAGCAACGCCGCGUGCGGGAUGAAGGCCUUCGGGUUGUAAACCGCUUUCAGCAGGGAAGAAGCGAAAGUGACGGUACCUGCAGAAGAAGCACCGGCUAACUACGUGCCAGCAGCCGCGGUAA